GCACCGGUAGAUCAGUGGUAGAUCAUGAGAUUGCAGAUCUUAGGGUCCUGUGUUCGAACCACAGUCGGUGCU
rnacentral:tRNA from 1 species